rnacentral:rRNA from 1 species
GACGAACGCUGGCGGCGUGCUUAACACAUGCAAGUCGAACGGAAAGGCCCUGCUUUUGUGGGGUGCUCGAGUGGCGAACGGGUGAGUAACACGUGAGUAACCUGCCCUUGACUUUGGGAUAACUUCAGGAAACUGGGGCUAAUACCGGAUAGGAGCUCCUGCUGCAUGGUGGGGGUUGGAAAGUUUCGGCGGUUGGGGAUGGACUCGCGGCUUAUCAGCUUGUUGGUGGGGUAGUGGCUUACCAAGGCUUCGACGGGUAGCCGGCCUGAGAGGGUGGACAGCCACAUUGGGACUGAGAUACGGACCAGACUGCUACGGUGGGCAGCAGUGGGGAAUAUUGCACAAUGGGCGGAAGCGUGAUGCGGGAACGCCGCGUGCGGGAUGACGGCCUUCGGGUUGUAAACCGCUUUCGCCUGUGACGAAGCGUGAGUGACGGUAAUGGGUAAAGAAGCACCGGCUAACUACGUG